UUCAGCAGUCGUUUCCAUGACCUCACUCGUGUUUGGGGCUAGAUCCUGAGUUGCCACCAAUUGGCGUAACACUCCUUUAGUUCAAUGGAGCUACACCAGCUUACACCAACUGUGAAAAAUAUUGCCCUUAGGGUCCAUAUAUUUAUAAUGCCAAAUCCGCAGUUGGGAUUAGAGGUACAGCUCCAGUAAGGUCUCGUUGGGGGCCCAUACUCUACUCUGACUCAGAUUCCAAGAUUCUGGCACGCUCCAUUCUAGCCUUUCUCAGCAGUACUGGCUGGCAAUGAAGAAAUAAGAUGUUGCCCAGGCUAUCUCUGCUGGGAAAGCUUUGUGGUGAAUGAGAAGCAUUCAUAUUUGGCAAAAGCAAUCAUAGGAUCUGGGUUGACAGAGAAGUGCCAGGUACAGGACUGAUGGAUACAACUUACUCUCUCACCCUGCUGCAAAAGGGAACCCAGGGGCCUGCUUCUCUUUCCAAGUAACAGUUCAGACCCUGGUUUGCAGUGUCCCUCACUCAGGACUAAAAGCAAGUCCAACUAAGAAACCUUCAUAUUUGAAAAGGAAAAGGGGUGGGAAGGAAGAGAGGGGAAGUGUGUUUAGGUCCAGACUAGAGGAUUUAAGAAAUUAAAAAUACAAAUGGCUCAGAAUGAAGCAGCCUGAUUUUAUAAGCAUAGUUUUUAGACAAAUCAGUGUUAUUUAAUAUGUCCUGCCGAGAACUUCCACAUUAAAGCUGACUCUUUGUAUUGAUUGUUUUAUUCAGUUCUUUUUUAAGUGUUCCUUUUACACUAUUCAUGGAAGGGUGGGAGGUGCAUGGCAUUAAGGAAAUUAGAAAUAGGAUAAUGAAUUCUUUCCACACAAUAUUAGUGG